rnacentral:misc_RNA from 1 species
AAACGAUAAAGUGAAGGCUCGAAUCGUCGGCGCCGAUCUCCGGGAACUUGGUUACAUCAGCAGCGGCAGUGAACACAGCGCCGAUGCUGAUACCGACGUCGCUUCACCUAGCUUUUCAGGUCUGGUUUUUGGUUUCCCUGAUGAUUUGGAUCAAAAUCAGUCAUCGGAGAAUGAUAACUCCGAUACUGAGUUAGAUGAGUCGUCAGUUGAUAACGUACCGGAAAUGAUUUUUCAAAGCGAUACAGAUUUGUUUAGGAAUGUGUUGUGUUCUCAUGUAUUUAAAGCGUUAGAAGUUUAUUCGUGUUUGAAAUUGAAUAAAUCGGUACUCAGAAGGAAUGUGAUGCUGUGUUUGAGAGAUUUUGGUUAUAAUGCUGCUGUAUGUAAAGCGAAAUGGGAGAGUUCCGGUGGACUUACCGCCGGUAACUAUGAGUUCAUCGAUGUUGUUCGAUCGGACGCUGUUAACUGUCAAACUCGUUACUUCGUCGAUUUAGAUUUCGCCGCGGAAUUUGAGAUCGCGAGACCGACGAACUCCUACGAACGGUUAUCGCAGUCGCUACCGAAAGUUUUCGUCGGAAAAAGCGAAGAAUUAAAGCAGAUAUUGAGAACAAUGAGCGACGCCGCUAGACGAUCGUUGAAAAGCAGAGAUCUACACCUUCCUCCAUGGAGGAAACACCGUUUCAUGCAAAACAAAUGGCUCGGUCCGUACAAACGGACGUCGAAUAUCACUCCAUCGACGAACACUCCGGCGUUUUUAUUACCUCCAUCGAAUCAGGCAUACACCGUGAAGUGCCGAUCUGUUGGUUUCGACACCGCCGUUCAUGGCGGUCUUUGGUUACCGGCGGCAACCCGAACUAGAUGACUUCUGAUAAUUAUUAUUUUUAAUUUUUUUAAAAGAAGAGUUGUCGUUUUGUGUUUUAACAAAAGCGUCGUCGUUUUGUACACCAUGUGAAAAAAGAG